rnacentral:rRNA from 1 species
GACGUAGGGCGCGAGCGUUGUCCGGAUUUAUUGGGCGUAAAGAGCUCGUAGGCGGCUUGUCGCGUCGACUGUGAAAACCCGCGGCUCGACUGCGGGCUUGCAGUCGAUACGGGCAGGCUAGAGUUCGGUAGGGGAGACUGGAAUUCCAGGUGUAGCGGUGAAAUGCGUAGAUAUCUGGAGGAACACCGGUGGCGAAGGCGGCAUCCUGGACCAACACUGACACUGAGGAGCGAAAGCCAGGGGAGCAAACGGG